rnacentral:rRNA from 1 species
AGUGAACGCUGGCGGUAGGCCUAACACAUGCGAGUCGAACGGCAGCACAGUAAGAGCUUGCUCUUACGGGUGGCGAGUGGCGGACGGGUGAGGAAUACAUCGGAAUCUACUUUUUCGUGGGGGAUAACGUAGGGAAACUUACGCUAAUACCGCAUACGACCUACGGGUGAAAGCAGGGGAUCUUCGGACCUUGCGCGAUUGAAUGAGCCGAUGUCGGAUUAGCUAGUUGGCGGGGUAAAGGCCCACCAAGGCGACGAUCCGUAGCUGGUCUGAGAGGAUGAUCAGCCACACUGGAAGUGAGACACGGUCCAGACUCCUACGGGAGGCGCCAGUGGGGAAUAUUGGACAAUGGGCGCAAGCCUGAUCCAGCCAUACCGCGUGGGUGAAGAAGGCCUUCGGGUUGUAAAGCCCUUUUGUUGGGAAAGAAAAGCAGCAGGUUAAUACCCCGCUGUUCUGACGGUACCCAAAGAAUAAGCACCGGCUAACUUCGUG